CGCACCCGCAUGCUUCAAAAUUUUCAACCCACUAUCUUCUCUACGUGCAGAAUAUGAACCUAAUCAAACCUUUUGGAAUUUGCUGAAAGUGAAGACAAAGCAUUACGCAUAUACAUCAAUCUUCUUAGCCACUUCAUUUUCCAUUUGAUCCUAUGAGCUAAGUCAAUGAAAAUUUCUUUCACACUAUCAAGAUUUUAAAUACCAUUUUCUCUUCUUCUUUUUUUUUUUCUGUUUUCUCUGCACUCCUGGCGGCCUCAGGGCAUAACAGGUGCACAUCUUUAGUGUGCUCAUGCUACGUAGCAGCGAGGAAUUCCGACAGCAAAGACGACGAAGGUGUUAGGAGAAGUGGCACCAGCAACAAUCACAGGAAGCAUAGAUCAUUAGAGAAGAAAUAUGGGUUUUUUCACGAAUUUUGUUUUGAUGAGGAAUCACAAGUUGAAGUCAAGAACAGUGGAGGCAUCGCGAGUGACAUUGGUGGGUCUGAUGCAUCUCAAGAGCUUAAUGAACCCAUGCCUCUUAAGAGUAAUCUGAAGAAAGCGACUGAACCUUUAGAAUUUAGUCAGCAGCUAAGGAUAGGGUCGAGGAAAGUUACCUGGCCGGACGCCCAUGGCAAAGAUAUUGCUCAUGUUCAAGAGUUUGAGCCAAGUGUGUCAGAGGAUGGCGGAGAAUUAGAGGGUGUACAAAAUUCUUGCAUCUGUGUAAUACAAUGAUAAUGGUAAGUAUAAUUGCUUCUUGAAAGUUAACCUUGAUCACUUUGCAAACGUGUAAAUGAUCUCUUUUACUGUUUUGAUAACAUUGCACAUUAAUGUUUUGAAAUUUUAGACAAUUGUGCAAAAUGCUUUUUUUUUCCCCCUAUAUAUGUGGGGGUUGAAGAAUAUAUAGGGCUGCUGCAGACUAUGGCGGCUUGGAAAUUGACUAUGGCUGAAGCCCCAAAAUUGACCACAAGUAUAAGCAGUACAUAAGGGUCGCUUCCAGCGCCUGAAGCUUUUGAAUGCUGACUCAAUGACCCAAAAUUGGGAUACAUCUAGAGGAAAUUGAGCAUAAAUUUCCAAUGACAAAAUUGUUUCUAUGAUGUAUUUUGACAAAAACAACAGUAUACAUGUCAACAUUUAUAGGGUGAUGUAAUUGGAGUUCUACCUUUGCAUUGUAUAGAGCGAACAUUUGAUAAUGGAUUGACUAUUUUUGGCGGGUUUCA